UGCGGCCACUGGAAUGCACGUAGAUUCAGUUUUGUGGCGCAUGCGUCACGUCCUCGCUGGCUCGCUUCUCGUUGUUGGACAGCCUGUUUGUCGACACGUGUCCCUCAUGUAACGUAACUAAUUUCUACAGUGGCAUGUUGUUUGUGCGGAUUUGACAUCUGAACGGGUCAGAAUAUCAACGAUGAUUCGGACGAAGAGCAGCAAAGAGGCCCAGUGUCCAGGACGAACCGGAGGCCAACCGCUGGUCAUGUGACUGUGGAUGACAGAAGGUUAGCUUUGUUCACCCCCUGUAUCAGGCCUUACAGCAUGGCUGUUGGUAACCAGGCUGUAAUCUGAGAUGCACAGUAAGCACAGAGGCUGCACAAUCAGAAGCAGAAGCAGAUUCACCAGCUCAGCACGCAGUAGGCAUCUCUCUACUUGAGAGACAAGUGGGUAACAAUAUUUGCAGGCCUGUGACACAGCUGGUAACAGAGGCAAACAUAUGUCUCUGAAUACAAAGAUGGCGAUAGCCUUGCUAUUUCAAUGAUCAUUCUCAAUGUACUGAUAUCUACGAGCAGGCUCAGCGUAUAUUCAGAUAUUUACAGUCACUGUGUAAAUAAUAGAGCACUUUUUUUUUUUUUAAUUCGCCAUGACUGUACUUAAUCAACACAGUGUUCAUGGGGGCCACCGUCGACAGCUCACUCCAUCACUCACAUUUUGUUUUCCAAGUCACAGUGAAAAUUGAUUUAGCCAGGAGUCGUGAAUUAAAAACCUUAGUUCUGUGCAGUCAAUUGACACACCGACAUGCCAGAUUUCCACAAAUGUUGUUUAUGUACAUGGGAGAAAGGGUAGAAAAAUUCCCCAGGUGUUUCUGAGAGAAAUUCUCAGAGAUAUUUCAGGACAAUUAAUGCCAAGCGAACUGGAGAAAAACUGUGAAUACUAAAGUCGUCACAAUAGCUUGGAGACAAUGGAAAUGACUGCAGAACAGCCGCCUGUGGUGAUGAGACAAGCCAAAUGUUCAACCGGAGAUGCCAAGAACAGGAUGAGACUGGUGAAAAAAACUCAGCUCGUAAACUGUCCUGCCAGGAUAAAUUACUGUACUGUCUUUGCAUGAGGAGAUGACUUCCAGAGUUCUUACUGUAAGACAGCAGAAAUAACACAGGGCAGGUUAUGACACAGAAGACGUGUGUGAUCCAGCGAUUCAUUUGGGAGGUUAUGAGCGAACGACCAAAAACAACAAACGUUCAUAAUGCAUUCAGGAUUUUUAUAGCACUCGAGGUGAAGCUCUUAAGUAUAAUUAUUUUCUGUACAGCCGUAUGCAAAUAUUACUAUUGAUCAACUUUAGACAUAUAAGUAAACAAAUGAGAUUAAAAAGUUAAUUGUUGCUAUUUUUGUUCAGUUCAUUACCUAAAGCCAUAGAAACAUCCAGUUGAAUUCUUAUAUUGCUGUGUUCUACUAAGUCAGGCAUGAAAGCUGCUUUCAUGUUUAUCGAUAAUUCAUAUGGUCUUAAAUGGCUUCCAAAUUGCUUAUUCACCCUGUGUGCUCCUACACCGUAUUAGUGAGCUAAAUGUAAUUGGCCAGUCUCUAGCUCCGCACCCCCAUUCUCUGCACAGCAGCUCAACUAAUGCGUCACCAACAAAGAGUUCUGUAAAAAUGCAUUACCCAGACAUGACCCGGCACAAGCCAUCACUGAUGCAGAGAAAGGGCUUGGUGUGAUCUGAAAGCACUCUGCUCUUUCAGUCAGGAUCAUGUCUAAUGUGUGUACAACAUUUGCAUGCAAUGUUUGCAUUAUUAAUUACAUAAUUAAUAUGAUGUUAAAUUAUUUAGCUUGUUCAUUACCAUUAUGAUUAUUGAACCGUUCCUCAACUGCAAAAAUUAAUUUUAUCGAAAGAA